CUCACUCCGCCAGGAACGCGGUUACUCAAGACUAGAGUGGAGAUUUGGGAAACACACAUUUUCCCUGGACGUCGACAAAGUCAGUCUCACUACCUCACAAAGAAGAUGCUUUCUUGUGUACAACUGCUGCUUUGAAAACACAUCGAUAGAAUGAGUAAAGAAAGUCCAAGGAUAGAAAUGGACCUGGCUUUUGGCUUUUCAGGCAAGGCGUAUGGCUCCUCAAGGAGUAUUGUGAGAAGAAUAGCCACCAAUCUUCCCCUUAAACCAUGCCCCAGGGUCCAUUUUCAGGUAAAACUGUUUCUGCGACAGAGGUGGCAGGCAUACAACAUGUCUGCCCCCAUACUUUGACAGAGUAUGAUCUGUGUGGGACAUUGUUUCCAUGUGACUUUGUUUCCGUGUCUGUCACUGUUUCUGUGUCACUGCUCUUUACCUUGUGCUCAAGUGUCACGUUAUCUUGGUGUGCUCAUGUCCUGAUGUAUUCUGAUCUAAUGGUCAAGUCACCCUCAUCAAGAGUGUUUGCCAGCUUGUUCAUUUGUUUUGAUGCUUCAACACUAAACAGAAUAGAAAACGUCAUGAGACUGAUAACAUGGACCUAGGUGCUGAUUUAAUGUUUAGGGAAGUUAGGCUAUGUUGCUCCUCAUUGGUAAUAAAAUAUCGAGGUGCCUUUUUAAUGUUUCGAUUUGAAGUCUGRUCCAAUUAGUAUUUUUUUGCAUUAGAAAGUUCCAGUUACACAGAACACAACAGUUAAUUUAGAUAGCCAUGUUAUCAUUGCCCUGCUCAGUCUUUACAUUCGUCUUUCCUGUCAUUACUGUUUUCUCUUUUUUUCCUCUCUCCCUCCCUUUAGCUGUCCUUCCUUUCUGUGAGGAAUGCAGUAUGUCUGUUUUAGGUCAGUUCAUCAGACAACCUACAACAGUAACUUUGUACUGUUGACUAAUGUCCCCCCCAUUUGCUGCUAUAACAGCCUCCACUCUUCUGGGAAGGUUUUCCACUAGAUGUUGGAACAUUGCUGCAG